GCGUCCCAUUAGUUAGUUGGUAAGGUAACGGCUUACCAAGACUACGAUGGGUAGGGGUCCUGAGAGGGAGAUCCCCCACACUGGUACUGAGACACGGACCAGACUCCUACGGGAGGCAGCAGUGAGGAAUAUUGGACAAUGGGCGCAAGCCUGAUCCAGCCAUGCCGCGUGCAGGAUGACGGUCCUAUGGAUUGUAAACUGCUUUUAUACGAGAAGAAACACUGGUUCGUGAACCAGCUUGACGGUAUCGUAAGAAUAAGGAUCGGCUAACUCCGUGCCAGCAGCCGCGGUAAUACGGAGGAUCCAAGCGUUAUCCGGAAUCAUUGGGUUUAAAGGGUCCGUAGGCGGUCAGAUAAGUCAGUGGUGAAAGCCCAUCGCUCAACGGUGGAACGGCCAUUGAUACUGUCUGACUUGAAUUAUUAGGAAGUAACUAGAAUAUGUAGUGUAGCGGUGAAAUGCUUAGAGAUUACAUGGAAUACCAAUUGCGAAGGCAGGUUACUACUAAUAUAUUGACGCUGAUGGACGAAAGCGUGGGUAGCGAACAGGAUUAGAUACCCUGGUAGUCCACGCCGUAAACGAUGGAUACUAGCUGUUGGGAGCAAUCU
rnacentral:rRNA from 1 species